rnacentral:lncRNA from 1 species
UAGCAACCUCCCUGACAAAUGACAGUAGCCUGAAAAAGUGAGGAAGUACAAUGUCAGAUGGUAUAGCCUGGAAAACGACAGUGCACAGAGAGAAAUAAGAUGUACGAGGUUCAUAGAAAAAAUGCGAUUAAAUAACCACACAUGGAGGUUGUAUGAAGAAGAAAUUCACAAAAGAUUCCAACUAUACAUAUAUAGGAGGUAGCAGACACUUUCUCACUACAUACUAUUGUGGACUUCUCAAAUGGAAAAUGACAGGCAUAUCUAUUAGACAGAAUUGAGGCACCAACAUGCAAAUUGUACAGUUGUUCUGGGCAACAAUUUCUUCCUAUGACAAUAACCCUGGAUGUGGGCUCUUGCUGUAAACGACAUCACAAGAAGACAUUUGGACACACACGGUGAAUGACACAUGAAGAUGGAGGCAGAGAUCGGAAUGAUGUAUCUACAAGCGAUGGUCCACCAAAGAUGAUCAGCAAACCACCGGAAGCUGGGACAGAGGUCUGGAACAGAGCCUCCCUCACAUCCCUCAGAAGGAACCAACCCUGCCAGCACCUUAAUCUCACACUUCUAGCCUACAGAAUUCUGAGACAACACAUUUCUGUUGUGUACACAGAGACACAUAUUAAAUAAACCUUCUACAAGAGUAACCCGUCCAGAAAUGCAGCAAGAGGCUUCCAAAGGGCUAGAUUUAUUACAAAUUAAUCAAAUAGGUAAGAUGGAUCAUAAUGGAUAUUCCAGCCAAUGUAAACUGAGAGGAAAAGAAAAGCUCCGGCGGCAAGUCAAGAGCCAAAUGUUUCUGUUUUGAUUUAUUUAGCAUUUCCGAGAUGUUUCUUCUGUGGGGAACAAUAUGCAAGGCAUUGGAAAUUCAGAAGGCACAUCUUUUGUGUACCAUAAAAAUGUGCUGCUAACCUACAAUACCCUUAUAGAAAUACAAUUCAAUAAGAAACUCAGUUGGGAAGAUGUCUCAAUAGAACAACAUGAAAAAAAUGGUCAAUACAAGAAUGAUUCACUUUACUUUUACAAGGGAUUUCGAUGCUACGAAUAGAAAUGCCUUUGGA